rnacentral:sRNA from 1 species
AAAUCAACCUGGAUGCCUUCCUUCACAAUAAUCUCAUGGAGGUAAUUUAAAGAAUCCCUUUUUUGGAGAGUCAGAGAGAAAAGCAAAAAAAACAGCAUGAGGAAUUUGAAGACUGAGAGAUGAGUUGUGUAGCACCAACAUUUUCUUUCUGCCUGACCUUCAUACCUGAUGAAUUAAAAGUACUGGUGACAGUAACAGUUUCCCUCUGUCUUUUGGCUGUUGACACUGAAGGAUGAUAGAGAUGAGUAGAAGAAGGCCAAACCCAGCCAUCACCAGAACAGGGCCUGCUGGCUUUGUGAGCAUUUCACAAUAUUGUCUGGAGCUGUUUGGCUUAUAGAAGAGGGAAGGUACUAUGAGCUAAUUUGUGUCAAGCUACUCCUCACAGCUAUAGGCAGGAAGUGCUAUUUCCU